rnacentral:rRNA from 1 species
AGAGUUUGAUCAUGGCUCAGAACGAACGCUGGCGGCAGGCCUAACACAUGCAAGUCGAACGCUCCGCAAGGGGAGUGGCAGACGGGUGAGUAACACGUGGGAACCUACUCGAGGUGCGGAACAACCAAGGGAAACUUUGGCUAAUACCGCAUGUGCCCUUAGGGGGAAAGAUUUAUCGCCUUGGGAUGGGCCCGCGUCGGAUUAGCUAGUUGGUGUGGUAAUGGCGCACCAAGGCGACGAUCCGUAGCUGGUCUGAGAGGAUGAUCAGCCACACUGAGACUGAGACACGGCCCAGACUCCUACGGGAGGCAGCAGUGGGGAAUAUUGGACAAUGGGCGCAAGCCUGAUCCAGCCAUGCCGCGUGUGUGAUGAAGGCCUUAGGGUUGUAAAGCACUUUCGCCGAUGAAGAUAAUGACUGUAGUCGGAGAAGAAGCCCCGGCUAACUUCGUG